GAUGAAGAACGGCAGCGAAAUGCGAUAAGUAAUGUGAAUUGCAGAAUUCAGUGAAUCAUCGAAUCUUUGAACGCAUCUUGCGCUCCUUGGUAUUCUGAGGAGCAUGCCUGUUUGAGUGUCAUUAAAUUCUCAACUACACUGACUUUGAAUUGGUGUGGCUUGGAUUUGGGGGGAAAAUUGUUGUGGGCUUUUUGUAUAGUCUGCUCCCCUGAAAUUGAUUAGCGGUACCUUUGUGGAACUGUCUACAGGUGUGAUAAUUAUCUACAUCUUAGACAUCUGCUGGAAUGCUGCUUUCUAAACCUUACUUGUAUUGACAAUCUUGACCUCAAAUCAGGUAGGACUACCCGCUGAACUUAAGCAUAUCAAUAAGCGGAGGA
rnacentral:misc_RNA from 1 species